rnacentral:rRNA from 1 species
ACGAACGCUGGCGGCGUGGAUAAGACAUGCAAGUCGAACGGGAGAAUUGCUAGCUUGCUAAUAAUUCUCUAGUGGCGCACGGGUGAGUAACACGUGAGUAACCUGCCUCUUAGUGGGUGAUAGCCCUGGGAAACCGGGAUUAAUACCGCAUACGAUUGAAAGAUCAAAGCAGCAAUGCGCUAGGAGAUGGGCUCGCGGCCUAUUAGUAGUUGGUGAGGUAACGGCUCACCAAGGCGAUGACGGGUAGCCGGUCUGAGAGGAUGUCCGGCCACACUGGAACUGAGACACGGUCCAGACACCUACGGGUGGCAGCAGUCGAGAAUCAUUCACAAUGGGGGCAACCCUGAUGGUGCGACGCCGCGUGGGGGAAUGAAGGUCUUCGGAUUGUAAACCCCUGUCAUGUGGGAGCAAAUUAAAAAGAUAGUACCACAAGAGGAAGAGACGGCUAACUCUGUGCCAGCAGCCGCGGUAAUACAGAGGUCUCAAGCGUUGUUCGGAAUCACUGGGCGUAAAGCGUGCGUAGGCUGUUUCGUAAGUCGUGUGUGAAAGGCAGGGGCUCAACCCCUGGAUUGCACAUGAUACUGCGAGACUAGAGUAAUGGAGGGGGAACCGGAAUUCUCGGUGUAGCAGUGAAAUGCGUAGAUAUCGAGAGGAACACUCGUGGCGAAGGCGGGUUCCUGGACAUUAACUGACGCUGAGGCACGAAGGCCAGGGGAGCGAAAGGGAUUAGAUACCCCUGUAGUCCUGGCAGUAAACGGUGCACGCUUGGUGUGCGGGGAAUCGACCCCCUGCGUGCCGGAGCUAACGCGUUAAGCGUGCCGCCUGGGGAGUACGGUCGCAAGAUUAAAACUCAAAGAAAUUGACGGGGACCCGCACAAGCGGUGGAGUAUGUGGCUUAAUUCGAUGCAACGCGAAGAACCUUACCUGGGCUUGACAUGUAAUGAACAACAUGUGAAAGCAUGCGACUCUUCGGAGGCGUUACACAGGUGCUGCAUGGCCGUCGUCAGCUCGUGUCGUGAGAUGUUUGGUUAAGUCCAGCAACGAGCGCAACCCCUGUUGCCAGUUACCAGCACGUCAAGGUGGGGACUCUGGCGAGACUGCCCAGAUCAACUGGGAGGAAGGUGGGGACGACGUCAGGUCAGUAUGGCCCUUAUGCCCAGGGCUGCACACGUACUACAAUGCCCAGUACAGAGGGGGCCGAAGCCGCGAGGCGGAGGAAAUCCUGAAAACUGGGCCCAGUUCGGACUGUAGGCUGCAACCCGCCUACACGAAGCCGGAAUCGCUAGUAAUGGCGCAUCAGCUACGGCGCCGUGAAUACGUUCCCGGGUCUUGUACACACCGCCCGUCACAUCAUGGAAGCCGGUCGCACCCGAAGUAUCUGAAGCCAACCGCAAGGAGGCAGGGUCCUAAGGUGAGACUGGUAACUGGGAUG